rnacentral:rRNA from 1 species
GUCCUUUAGAGUAGAUUUAAGGUCUAACCUGCCCACUGAUUGUUUUAACGGCCGCAGUAUUUUGACUGUGCAAAGGUAGCAUAAUCAUUAGUUUUUUAAUUGAAAGCUUGAAUGAAUGGUUGGACGAGAUAUAAUCUGUCUUUAAAUUAUAAUUAGAAUUUAAUUUUUAAGUUAAAAAGCUUAAAUAAAUUUAAAAGACGAGAAGACCCUAUAGAUCUUUAUAAAUAUAAAAAUUUAAUUUUUUAGGAUUAUAAAUUCUUAUAUUUUUUUAUUUAUUUAAUUGGGGUAAUGAAAAGAUUUAGUAAAUUCUUUUAUUUAAAACAUUGAUAAAUGAUUUGGGUGAUCUAUUAUUAUUGAUUAUAAGAUUAAGUUACCUUAGGGAUAACAGCGUAAUUUUUUUUGAAAGUUCUUAUUGAUAAAAAAGUUUGCGACCUCGAUGUUGGAUUAAAAUUAAUUUUGGGUGUAGAAGUUCAAAGUUUUAGUCUGUUCGACUAUUAAAAUUUUAC